UGGGGAAUUUUGGACAAUGGGCGCAAGCCUGAUCCAGCAAUGCCGCGUGCAGGAUGAAGGCCUUCGGGUUGUAAACUGCUUUUGUACGGAACGAAACGGCUCUGUCUAAUACAUGGGGCUAAUGACGGUACCGUAAGAAUAAGCACCGGCUAACUACGUGCCAGCAGCCGCGGUAAUACGUAGGGUGCAAGCGUUAAUCGGAAUUACUGGGCGUAAAGCGUGCGCAGGCGGUUAUAUAAGACAGAUGUGAAAUCCCCGGGCUCAACCUGGGAACUGCAUUUGUGACUGUAUAGCUAGAGUACGGCAGAGGGGGAUGGAAUUCCGCGUGUAGCAGUGAAAUGCGUAGAUAUGCGGAGAAACACCGAUGGCGAAGGCGAUCCCCUGGACGUGUACUGACGCUCAUGCACGAAAGCGUGGGGAGCAAACA
rnacentral:rRNA from 1 species